UACGAAGGGGGGCUAGCGUUGCUCGGAUUUACUGGGCGUAAAGGGCGCGUAGGCGGACAGUUAAGUUGGGGGUGAAAGCCCGGGGCUCAACCUCGGAAUUGCCUUCAAUACUGGCUGUCUUGAGUGUGAGAGAGGUGUGUGGAACUCCGAGUGUAGAGGUGAAAUUCGUAGAUAUUCGGAAGAACACCAGUGGCGAAGGCGAACACACUGGCUCACUACUGACGCUGAGGCGCGAAAGCGUGGGGAGCAAACAGG
rnacentral:rRNA from 1 species